CGCUACAGGUAUGAAUUGAUUGUUAUUUGGCCAAUAGCGCUACGUGUAUCAAUUGAGGAUGUAAACUUUAUGAAUGAUUUGAUGAUAAAAGUUGACUUAUAGCACUAGUGUGAAUUGAUGGUGUUACCUGGCUAGCUAAUUGUGCUAUACGUUUGAAUUGAUGAUGUUCUUAGACUAGUAGCGCCACAUGUAUGAAUUGAUGAGGUUACAUGUAUUUGGCUAACAGCGCUACAUGAAUUAAUGAUGUUAUUUGGCCAAUAGUGAAACAUGUACAUACAUGAAUUAAUGAUCAUUGUUGUCUUAAAUUGCUACAUGUUUAAAUUGAUGAUGUUAUUUGGCAAAUAGUGAUUCAUGUAUGAAUUGAUGUUGUUUGGUUAUCAGUGCUAUAUGUAUGAAUCAAUAAUGUUAUUUAGCUUUUAGUGCAACAUGUAUGAAUGAUGAUAAAGGUUGUUCAAUAGCACUACAUGUAUGAAUUUAUGAUUUUAUUUGACUAAAAGAUAAGUGCUACAUGUGUGAAUUGUUGGUGUUUGGUUAUUAGUGCUACAUGUAUAAAUUGAUGGUAAUACAUGUAUUUGUCUAACAGUGUUAAAUGUAUGAAUUGAAAAUGGAUGUCUUAUACGGCUACAUGUAUAAAUUAAUGAUUUUAUUUGACUAAUAGCACUACAUGUAUGAAUUGAUGUUGUUAUUUGGCCAAAAGUGAUACAUGUAUUAAUUGAUAAUAGUUGUCCACUAUUGCUACAUGUAUAAAUUGAUGAUUUUACUUGACUAAUAGCACUACAUGUAUUAUUGAUGAUGUUAUUUGGCUAAUAGGGAUACAUGUAUUAAUUGAUGAUGAUAACUUUCUAAAUUUAAAUUAAUUGCACAUCUCUGUCUUUUUUUCGUAUGUAACUGAAUAAUGAAUAUUUCAAUUCACUGAUUUUGUAUCUUUUUUUCUGAAAUUAAAAUUCUCUUUCCGAUGUAUUCAUUGUAGGUUGAAAUUUGGUUGUAUUGCAUAUUUUAUUUCAUAGCUUUGUAAACAAUGGCUUUUCAUAUUUCAUGAAAAUAACUGCAAUAAUUUGGUCUUUGCUUUUUGCUCCAUUUGAAGCAAAGGCUCAUUACAAGUAUUUCUUAUUAAUGAGUGUUACAUGUAGGCUUUUCAGGAUUUAUUUUUUCAUAUCAGGUGGUUAUAUGUACAUUUUGAAGUUUAUAACUGUAACAAAUAAUCCAUGAAUAUUAAACAGGUUAUUUAUUAAGUUAAAGAUUGUUAUUUGCUGUGUUCUUCUCAGAUAUCAUCUUAACAAUAUACUUAUGUUGUAAACUCUGCUCAAAAAUACAAAUGUAUAUGAUAAAAAAAAUGUUUGAUAUGUACAUUCAUUUAAAUUUGAAUACAUGUAACAUG
rnacentral:sRNA from 1 species